rnacentral:rRNA from 1 species
AACGUAGGAGACAAACGUUAUCCGGAGUUAUUGGGCGUAAAGCGCGUGUAGGCGGCCCUGCAAGUCGGAUGUGAAAUCCCACGGCUCAACCGUGGAAGUGCAUUCGAUACUGCUGUGACUAGAGUCCGGUAGGGGAGCGUGGAAUUCCUGGUGUAGCGGUGAAAUGCGCAGAUAUCAGGAGGAACACCAGCGGCGAAGGCGGCGCUCUGGGCCGGAACUGACGCUGAGGAGCGAAAGCGUGGGUAGCAAACAGG